ACAGUACUGGUCCAAUGGUCAGGAUUCUUCCCUUCCAUAUUGGUAGCCAGGAAGAGGUCGGUGUUCGAUUCACCGGUACUGUA